rnacentral:rRNA from 1 species
GAUGAACGCUGACAGAAUGCUUAACACAUGCAAGUCGACUAGAUUGAUUCUUCGGGAUUAGUUUGGUGGCGGACGGGUGAGUAACGCGUAAAGAACCUGCCCUUUAGUCUGGGAUAACAAGCCGAAAGGAGUGCUAAGACCGGAUAUUAUAUAUGAGAGGCAUCUCUUGUAUAUGAAAACUAAGGUGCUAAAGGAGGGCUUUGCGUCCUAUUAGUUAGUUGGUGGGGUAACGGCCUACCAAGACCGCGAUAGGUAGCCGGCCUGAGAGGGUGAACGGCCACAAGGGGACUGAGACACGGCCCUUACUCCUACGGGAGGCAGCAGUGGGGAAUAUUGGACAAUGGGCAAAGGCCUGAUCCAGCAAUUCUGUGUGGACGAAGAAGGUUUUCGGAUUGUAAAGUCCUUUCAGUUGGGAAGAAGAGGUGACGGUACCAACAGAAGAAGCAACGGCUAAUUACGUG